UGUAUCUCCCCACCCCAUCAGGAAAAAUUACCCAGUAUAGUUCAGGUUAUGAGAAGGACCAGCUACACAAUCCAGUGCUUCAAUUUUAAAAUGGAUAACUAAUUACAGAGGAUUGACUGAUGUUAGAAAGCUUAUCCAGUGGUAUAAAAAUAAGUUAGAAAUAAAAUGCUGUAAGUUUAUUUCUGAGUUUUCUGAAUUUUUUCCCAAGAGAUUACACAGGAGACUCAGGAAAGUCUAUUUGUUCAUCAAGUUCCACUUUUAUCAUUGUAAAAUGCUGAUUGCCAAUGCCAAGUCACCAGGGACCAAUUUUGUGUUUUGUACUAUCUCAGUUUAGAACAGAACAUACACCUGAACUGUAGUGGUUUGAUUGGAUGGAGGCAGAAAACCCAGUUUUUAUUUUCAUAAAUUUUGUGGUUAUUUGUACAAGGGCUCUGCUAAGAUACCAUAUUCUUAAUUCAGUAACGAUUUUUUUUUAACAUUGUUAAAUGUUCCUUACCGCUAAAAGGUCAAUGUUAAGUACAGCAUUCAGAACAUAUUAUUUGGUUAAAAAAAAGUAUUUGUCUUCUUAUUGAAGAGCUAGCUUAGUUGUCAGUGGUUGAUACUUAUGCUAACAAUACAGAUUCAAGAUUACUGUUACAAGUUACAUCUAUAUAUGGGAGAGAUUCCAAGAGCCAGCAGAGUCCUUGGAAACAACAAUUUACUAAAUUUACUUAUGGCAGAAGGACUUAAGUGAACUAUAAACCACAUUUUAUUCCUUUAUAUUGUUACAUUCAAUUGUUCUUGCCUUUAGGAACUCACAUGAAUGCUUGGAGCUUAUCUGUAUGUCUGCAUGAUUGUGUGUGUAUGUGUGUUUGUCCUUUAUUCCUUAUUGUCAUUCCAUUAUAUAUCCACCAACAUGGGAGAAGUUGUAUACAACAAUUAGAAGUUGUAUUUUGCUUCUUAGCUUUAUCUUGUUACCUUUGUAGUUAGAGUAUUAUGUUGUUAUUUAACCAGUGCAAAUCUGUUUUCGCCAGUCUCCCUAGAACAGGUUUUUAAAGGGCUUUGUUUAUCAUAGAAACAGUAUUGCGAGGGACCUUCCUUCCUUUCUUUUUUGUACUAUUGUUUAUGCUGUAGUUGGGAAUUUCAUUACAGUGCAUUUCUUGCCCAUCAGAACCUCAGUUAAUCCACCUAGGAAAAACUGUGUCAAAGGGAAUGAGAAAGAAACUAUAGAAUAAUUCCUUUUGACCAUUUAAGCCAUUAUAAAUGCUUAUUUUGGAAAAGGAUAACCUGUUUAGAUGCAUCAGCAAUUAUAGACCAGAAAUUAAAUGCUUAAAUUAAAAUUAAUCAAAGCCUCAAAAUUCAACAUGGUUUUAUAAAUACUCACAGGGAGUACUUGAGAAUGUUUUCAUCUUUCUGGUAAGAAUUUCUGUUUUAGUAUUUGUUUUCUAGUUGAUUAUUUUCUAACUAAUUGAAAAUUAUAUUAGACCUAUUAACUUCUGACCAUUCUGCUUCAUGACCACAGGCUUCUUCCCUUAGCCAGACAGCUAUGUUAUAUCUGCAUGCCUUAGUUCUGUGGAGGGACUUAAUAGAAGAACGAGCGUAUAGUUCAGUGGCUUUAUUAGAAAAAUGACUCGGAAUAUAUAUACCCCAGUGAAUGGUGUAGUAUAAUCUCAUAACAUGUAUUAAAAAGAGGUUUUCCUGUCUGCUUAUUUGUGUCAUUAGAGCUAAAUAGUGAAGAUGAUGUUCAUAAUGUAGUAAAUACCAGAAUAAUACCUAGAAUAUCAUUUGUGACUUGUCCCAGCACUCUAAUUACUUCUUUAAUCCCCCUUUGUUUUUGUGUCAUUCUAGCCUCAUUUAUUAAUAUGAAUCUAUUUUUACUCCACUUUCUCUUUCAGGAAAUUUUUUAAAUUAAUAUUUUAUAUCUAGAUUAAAUGCUUAUGGAAAAGUGCCUUUUUACCAUGAUAGUGCCCCUUUCUUAUAAUUUCAUUUUUCAUUGUUGCCAAAAACACAUAGGCAAAUGACUUUAAUAGUCUCAACUUUCAUUUUUUCUUUCUGGUAAUUCUUUUUUCCGUUUCUUGAUCACCAUAGAAAAGUUUCAAACCUUCCUAGUGCCCAUUGGCAGAAGAGGAACAGAAAAGGUAUAUAGCUAGGAUUGUUUCUUUGAAAAAGGAUAAGUAAAAGAUCCUCUUUUAGACUUUAUAUAAAUUAGAUAAAUUUGUCUUCAUCGUGACCAGCUGUCAAAAAUUUUACUAUAUGUGAGACUAUGGCUCAAAUGUGUAUGGUUACCUUUCAGAAAGGAAGUUGAAGCACCUGCUCUGCUCUUAAUUAUAAGAUGGAUGAAAAUAAAUCAAUGACACAUAGUUUAGGUAAAGCUUGGUGAUGUCAAUUUUUCUAAUGAUAGUCAAAUAAUUCAUUGUUUGUGCCUCUUGCCCAUCAGAACCUUAGUAAUCUGCACAUGAAAAAUAGUUGCAAAGGAAAUGAAGUUAUAUCUGAGUCCCCCAGAACUAAAAUAAUUCCUUGCAGCCAGAUAGAGUUGGAUAGGGUGUCCCUCUAUUUGUUUUGCUAAUUUUGCCUAUGUUCCAGCUCCUCACCAUAGUGGUGGUGCCUAAAGAAAGGCCAUCAGCAGCAAACAGGUCAGGACAGUAGUGACUUAGAGAUAGAGCUGCUUUCCCUGUGUGAGUAUUUCCAUUACUGUUGGUGGCUCUAAAGACUGCAGAUCUUUAUGCAAUAUUCUCAAUACCCUAAUGAUAUUAUGCACUUUAAUCAUUCCAAAGAAGUAAAAAAUGCUGUAUAGUGAUGAUUCCUUUUGAUGACUACAUUUUAACUGUUUAGAAUAUUUAUGUCCCUUUUUAUUUUGGAUAGCCAACUUGGUAUGUUACGGGAAUAUUUUCUAAAAUGACUGUAUAAUAGGACUUACUAAGGCUUUGAGAUGUAACUGACUAUAAGGGGAAAUGAUUACACUUCAGAAAAUCAUUUUAGAAACAUUAAAAUGUUCAGCUUGCUAAUCUGUAUGUUUGAGAGUUAAUUAACCAGCUUUCUUCCUAUAUUUUUUGUUUCAUAUUAAUAACAUAGUAUAUAGUUUUCUACAUGUAUGUAUAAACCAAUGGUUCUCAAAAUGUGGUCCUCAGCCCACCAGCCAAUGUCUGUAUCACCUGGAAACUAGUUAAAAAUACAAAAUCUUGGGCCUUGUUCCAGACACAGUGAAUCAGAAACUCUGGAAUGAGACUCAGCAAUCUCUGUUUUUAACAAGCCUUCUGUUAAAGGUGAUUCUGAUGCAUGCCAAAGUUUGAGAACCACUGGUUUAAAAUUUAUUAAUAGAAAGGGCUUUUUUCCCACUCACACAAUUAUACAUUGUUCUAAAUGUAAAUUCAGUUUAACAUGGUUAUCCAUAAUCAUUUACUGGUAACGAUAAUUUAUUCUCAGUACUACCUAUAGAAAUAUAUUUUAUAUACAAUUAGUCCAGUUAUUGAUAAUUCAGUUAACUUAGUUUGGUGUAUUCCUACCACAUACUAAAAAGUUUACAUUAAAUGACUGAUUUAAAUAUAUAGGUGCAAUGGUCUAUAUUUUUAUUUUAACUAUGGUGACAUUUAAUUAGCUAACAUAAUUGACGGGUGCUAAAGUCUCCUGUUUAUCCAUAAAAUGGGUACAUUGUGGGCAGUGAUAAUUCAAGCUUCAUUUUCAUUGCCUCUUACCUUACCAGCAGACGACAGUUUUGUCCUGGCUAGACCAACUCUCAGAACAAAAUUAUUUGUCAUUCCUUAUAUUUACAUUUGUAUCUGAGCUAUUAAACAACAUGGCUAGCCAGGUCAACAAAGCACCUUAUUUAAUUUCUUUUUUUAAUAGAUAAAUCUCCUUUUAAAAUAGCUUGCUUUAUAUGAAAGCUGAUGCAUUGGAAAUAUAACUACCCUUGGUUGGAACUUAUGCUUCAAACAAGACACUGUAUUAUUUAGGCAUUUCUCCCUUUCCAAUUAUAUGCAACUAACUAUAAGAUAAAUAGACUUAUUUAUUCAUUUUAAUCUCCCUCUAUAAUUCAGUACCUCCAUAAUUGCUGGUGUUUACAAAUCACCAAUUAAUUCAUGAAAGAAAAAUGUACAUUUCAAAAUAAAAAUCGCCACUGCUGUGUUUGCUUAAUAGUAGCAGUGGAAAUGUAAGUGGCUUACUCUACAAACUUUGGUGCUGGAAAUACAUAGGCAAACUGUUGGGAGAUGCUCUAGCUACAUUCCUGCUUUCUUGUUCCUGUUACCAUCUUUAUCACCUUAUUGCAUACUAUAUUCUUAUUACAUAAGGCAUUCUACCAUACCACAAUAUUAUUCAACUCCAACUUGUAAUAUUUUCUUUAAAAGUUCUGUGUUUAACCAUAUUACCGUGCUUUCUUUUCCCAGAAUUAAUUUGCCUAAUUUGAGAUAGUUUGUAUAACUAUUAUUAUUUUAGCUAAUGAGCCUCAGGACAGCACACACAAACACACACACACACACACAUACACACACAUGCCUUCUCAGAUGUUUGAGAGUGACUUUGGAAUCAGAUUAAAGAACUGUCCUGCACAGAAGUGUUUAUGACUUUCAGUGACAAACUGACUCCAGUGACAUUGAGCUAAUUUCUUUUGAUCUAAUGAAUGUAUCUGCUUCACCUUGUUCCCUUACUUUGAAUUGAUAAGCUCCAAGUAUUUAUUACUUUUUUCAGAUACUUUUUACUGAGUUCAUUCAUUUGUUUUACUUAGUCUUUUAAUAACUAUACUACAGUUAUUUCAUUAACCUGUUCUCAAGUGGUUUAGCUACCAUUCUGCCAUUUAAGUUUUUUAUUUAAUUUUAUUUGCUUGAGUACACUGAUCAACCACUGAGCUGCCUUCUCCCAUUGUCCUGCAAUGAUAUAAGGGUUACAUUUUUGUGUAUAUGGCUUUCAUAGUUGGUAUUUCAGAGCACUGACACCAGAUACUUCAGUUUAUUCUCUGGGGGAACUUCAUUUGCAUCUAUGUUUUUAGCUAUCUGUGAUAACUUGUUAAAUAUUAAAAAGAUAUUUUGCUUCUAUUGGAACAUUUGUAUACUCGCAACUAUAUUUCUG
ensembl:lncRNA